UUAACUCAUAUUUGUAUGGAAUGGGAUCGUUUGCCUGCGUUUGCCGCUUGCCGCUAGGGGCGCUGUUCCAACUGCAUACAAAAUUGGGUUA
rnacentral:pre_miRNA from 1 species